AAAUGGGAGGAACACUGACAGAAAUAGAGAAAAGGGUCGUGGAGGGCCAGGGAUGACAUCUAAUGUUGAUAGUCAGAAACAGUUAGCUGGAACUUCUGUUGUUGGAGAGGCAAACCUUCACUAGCCUGUUGGUCUCCCACCAGCAAU